CACGGCUAACUACGUGCCAGCAGCCGCGGUAAUACGUAGGUGGCGAGCGUUAUCCGGAAUGAUUGGGCGUAAAGGGUGCGUAGGUGGCAGAUCAAGUCUGGAGUAAAAGGUAUGGGCUCAACCCGUACUGGCUCUGGAAACUGAUCAGCUAGAGAACAGAAGAGGACGGCGGAACUCCAUGUGUAGCGGUAAAAUGCGUAGAUAUAUGGAAGAACACCGGUGGCGAAGGCGGCCGUCUGGUCUGGAUUCUGACACUGAAGCACGAAAGCGUGGGGAGCAAAUAGGAUUAGAUACCCUAGUAGUCCACGCCGUAAACGAUGAGAACUAGGUGUUGGGGGAAUAACUCAGUGCCGCAGUUAACGCAGUAAGUUCUCCGCCUGGGGAGUAUGCACGCAAGUGUGAAACUCAAAGGAAUUGACGGGGGCCCGCACAAGCGGUGGAGUAUGUGGUUUAAUUCGAAGCAACGCGAAGAACCUUACCAGGCCUUGACAUCCCUUGCAGAGGUAUAGAGAUAUAUCCGAGGUUAUCAAGGAGACAGGUGGUGCAUGGUUGUCGUCAGCUCGUGUCGUGAGAUGUUGGGUUAAGUCCCGCAACGAGCGCAACCCUUGUGAUAUGUUACUAACAUUGAGUUGAGGACUCAUAUCAGACUGCCGGUGACAAACCGGAGGAAGGUGGGGAUGACGUCAAAUCAUCAUGCCCCUUAUGGCCUGGGCUACACACGUACUACAAUGGCGUCUACAAAGAGCGGCAAGCCUGUGAAGGCAAGCGAAUCUCAUAAAGGGCGUCUCAGUUCGGAUUGAAGUCUGCAACCCGACUUCAUGAAGCUGGAAUCGCUAGUAAUCGCGAAUCAGCAUGUCGCGGUGAAUACGUUCUCGGGCCUUGUACACACCGCCCGUCAAACCAUGGGAGUUGGUAAUGCCCGAAGCCGGUGGCAUAACCCUUCGGGGAGUGAGCCGUCGAAGGCAGGACCGAUGACUGGGGUUAAGUCGUAACAAGGUAUCCCUACGGGAACGUGGGGAUG
rnacentral:rRNA from 1 species